rnacentral:rRNA from 1 species
GGUUAAGCGACUAAGCGUACACGGUGGAUGCCCUGGCAGUCAGAGGCGAUGAAGGACGUGCUAAUCUGCGAUAAGCGUCGGUAAGGUGAUAUGAACCGUUAUAACCGGCGAUUUCCGAAUGGGGAAACCCAGUGUGAUUCGUCACACUAUCAUUAACUGAAUCCAUAGGUUAAUGAGGCGAACCGGGGGAACUGAAACAUCUAAGUACCCCGAGGAAAAGAAAUCAACCGAGAUUCCCCCAGUAGCGGCGAGCGAACGGGGAGGAGCCCAGAGCCUGAAUCAGUGUGUGUGUUAGUGGAAGCGUCUGGAAAGGCGCGCGAUACAGGGUGACAGCCCCGUACACAAAAAUGCACAUGCUGUGAGCUCGAUGAGUAGGGCGGGACACGUGGUAUCCUGUCUGAAUAUGGGGGGACCAUCCUCCAAGGCUAAAUACUCCUGACUGACCGAUAGUGAACCAGUACCGUGAGGGAAAGGCGAAAAGAACCCCGGCGAGGGGAGUGAAAAAGAACCUGAAACCGUGUACGUACAAGCAGUGGGAGCCUCUUAAUGGGGUGACUGCGUACCUUUUGUAUAAUGGGUCAGCGACUUAUAUUCUGUAGCAAGGUUAACCGAAUAGGGGAGCCGAAGGGAAACCGAGUCUUAACUGGGCGUUAAGUUGCAGGGUAUAGACCCGAAACCCGGUGAUCUAGCCAUGGGCAGGUUGAAGGUUGGGUAACACUAACUGGAGGACCGAACCGACUAAUGUUGAAAAAUUAGCGGAUGACUUGUGGCUGGGGGUGAAAGGCCAAUCAAACCGGGAGAUAGCUGGUUCUCCCCGAAAGCUAUUUAGGUAGCGCCUCGUGAAUUCAUCUCCGGGGGUAGAGCACUGUUUCGGCAAGGGGGUCAUCCCGACUUACCAACCCGAUGCAAACUGCGAAUACCGGAGAAUGUUAUCACGGGAGACACACGGCGGGUGCUAACGUCCGUCGUGAAGAGGGAAACAACCCAGACCGCCAGCUAAGGUCCCAAAGUCAUGGUUAAGUGGGAAACGAUGUGGGAAGGCCCAGACAGCCAGGAUGUUGGCUUAGAAGCAGCCAUCAUUUAAAGAAAGCGUAAUAGCUCACUGGUCGAGUCGGCCUGCGCGGAAGAUGUAACGGGGCUAAACCAUGCACCGAAGCUGCGGCAGCGACACUAUGUGUUGUUGGGUAGGGGAGCGUUCUGUAAGCCUGUGAAGGUGGCCUGUGAGGGUUGCUGGAGGUAUCAGAAGUGCGAAUGCUGACAUAAGUAACGAUAAAGCGGGUGAAAAGCCCGCUCGCCGGAAGACCAAGGGUUCCUGUCCAACGUUAAUCGGGGCAGGGUGAGUCGACCCCUAAGGCGAGGCCGAAAGGCGUAGUCGAUGGGAAACAGGUUAAUAUUCCUGUACUUGGUGUUACUGCGAAGGGGGGACGGAGAAGGCUAUGUUGGCCGGGCGACGGUUGUCCCGGUUUAAGCGUGUAGGCUGGUUUUCCAGGCAAAUCCGGAAAACCAAGGCUGAGGCGUGAUGACGAGGCACUACGGUGCUGAAGUGACAAAUGCCCUGCUUCCAGGAAAAGCCUCUAAGCAUCAGGUAACAUCAAAUCGUACCCCAAACCGACACAGGUGGUCAGGUAGAGAAUACCAAGGCGCUUGAGAGAACUCGGGUGAAGGAACUAGGCAAAAUGGUGCCGUAACUUCGGGAGAAGGCACGCUGAUAUGUAGGUGAAGCGACUUGCUCGUGGAGCUGAAAUCAGUCGAAGAUACCAGCUGGCUGCAACUGUUUAUUAAAAACACAGCACUGUGCAAACACGAAAGUGGACGUAUACGGUGUGACGCCUGCCCGGUGCCGGAAGGUUAAUUGAUGGGGUUAGCGGUAACGCGAAGCUCUUGAUCGAAGCCCCGGUAAACGGCGGCCGUAACUAUAACGGUCCUAAGGUAGCGAAAUUCCUUGUCGGGUAAGUUCCGACCUGCACGAAUGGCGUAAUGAUGGCCAGGCUGUCUCCACCCGAGACUCAGUGAAAUUGAACUCGCUGUGAAGAUGCAGUGUACCCGCGGCAAGACGGAAAGACCCCGUGAACCUUUACUAUAGCUUGACACUGAACAUUGAGCCUUGAUGUGUAGGAUAGGUGGGAGGCUUUGAAGUGUGGACGCCAGUCUGCAUGGAGCCGACCUUGAAAUACCACCCUUUAAUGUUUGAUGUUCUAACGUUGGCCCCUAAUCGGGGUUGCGGACAGUGUCUGGUGGGUAGUUUGACUGGGGCGGUCUCCUCCUAAAGAGUAACGGAGGAGCACGAAGGUUGGCUAAUCCUGGUCGGACAUCAGGAGGUUAGUGCAAUGGCAUAAGCCAGCUUGACUGCGAGCGUGACGGCGCGAGCAGGUGCGAAAGCAGGUCAUAGUGAUCCGGUGGUUCUGAAUGGAAGGGCCAUCGCUCAACGGAUAAAAGGUACUCCGGGGAUAACAGGCUGAUACCGCCCAAGAGUUCAUAUCGACGGCGGUGUUUGGCACCUCGAUGUCGGCUCAUCACAUCCUGGGGCUGAAGUAGGUCCCAAGGGUAUGGCUGUUCGCCAUUUAAAGUGGUACGCGAGCUGGGUUUAGAACGUCGUGAGACAGUUCGGUCCCUAUCUGCCGUGGGCGCUGGAGAACUGAGGGGGGCUGCUCCUAGUACGAGAGGACCGGAGUGGACGUAUCACUGGUGUUCGGGUUGUCAUGCCAAUGGCACUGCCCGGUAGCUAAAUGCGGAAGAGAUAAGUGCUGAAAGCAUCUAAGCACGAAACUUGCCCCGAGAUGAGUUCUCCCUGAGACUUAGAGUCUCCUGAAGGAACGUUGAAGACGACGACGUUGAUAGGCCGGGUGUGUAAGCGCAGCGAUGCGUUGAGCUAACCGGUACUAAUGAACCGUGAGGCUUAACCUU